rnacentral:tRNA from 1 species
GGGGCGGUAGCUCAGAAGUCAGAGCAGCGGCCUGAUACGUCGUUGGUCGAUGGUGCAACUCCAUCUCGCCCCACCA